rnacentral:rRNA from 1 species
UGGGGAAUUUUGGACAAUGGGCGAAAGCCUGAUCCAGCAAUGCCGCGUGUGUGAAGAAGGCCUUCGGGUUGUAAAGCACUUUUGUCCGGAAAGAAAUCCUUGGCUCUAAUACAGUCGGGGGAUGACGGUACCGGAAGAAUAAGCACCGGCUAACUACGUGCCAGCAGCCGCGGUAAUACGUAGGGUGCAAGCGUUAAUCGGAAUUACUGGGCGUAAAGCGUGCGCAGGCGGUUUGCUAAGACCGAUGUGAAAUCCCCGGGCUCAACCUGGGAACUGCAUUGGUGACUGGCAGGCUAGAGUAUGGCAGAGGGGGGUAGAAUUCCACGUGUAGCAGUGAAAUGCGUAGAGAUGUGGAGGAAUACCGAUGGCGAAGGCAGCCCCCUGGGCCAAUACUGACGCUCAUGCACGAAAGCGUGGGGAGCAAACAGGAUUAGAUACCCUGGUAGUCCACGCCCUAAACGAUGUCAACUAGUUGUUGGGGAUUCAUUUCCUUAGUAACGUAGCUAACGCGUGAAGUUGACCGCCUGGGGAGUACGGUUGCAAGAUU